rnacentral:rRNA from 1 species
GUUGUAUGGUUAAGUGACUAAGCGUACACGGUGGAUGCCUUGGCAGUUGGAGGCGAUGAAGGACGUACUAACUUGCGAUAAGCCUAGUCAAGCCAGUAAGAGGCGCUUGAGACUAGGAUUUCCGAAUGGGGAAACCCACCUGCUUGCAGGUAUCGUUAACUGAAUACAUAGGUUAACGAGGCGAACGCGGAGAACUGAAACAUCUAAGUACCCGUAGGAAAAGAAAUCAACCGAGAUUCCGAAAGUAGCGGCGAGCGAAAUCGGAGCAGCCCUUAAGCUUUAGUGUAGUUAGUGGAACAUGCUGGAAAGCAUGACGAAACAGGGUGAUAGUCCCGUACACAAAAACUUAUCUAAAGUGAAAUCGAGUAGGUCGGAGCACGUGAAACUUUGACUGAAUAUGGGGGGACCAUCCUCCAAGGCUAAAUACUCCCAACUGACCGAUAGUGAACCAGUACCGUGAGGGAAAGGCGAAAAGAACCCCUGUGAGGGGAGUGAAAUAGAACCUGAAACCGUGUACGUACAAGCAGUAGGAGCCUACUUGUUGGGUGACUGCGUACCUUUUGUAUAAUGGGUCAGCGACUUAUAUUCUGUAGCGAGGUUAACCAUUUAGGGGAGCCGUAGCGAAAGCGAGUCUUAACUGGGCGCUUAAGUUGCAGGGUAUAGACCCGAAACCCGGUGAUCUAGCCAUGGGCAGGUUGAAGGUUGAGUAACAUCAACUGGAGGACCGAACCCACUAACGUUGAAAAGUUAGGGGAUGACCUGUGGCUAGGAGUGAAAGGCUAAUCAAACCGGGAGAUAGCUGGUUCUCCCCGAAAUCUAUUUAGGUAGAGCCUCGGACGAAUACUUACGGGGGUAGAGCACUGUUAAGGCUAGGGGGUCAUCCCGACUUACCAACCCUUUGCAAACUCCGAAUACCGUAAAGUAAUAUCCGGGAGACACACGGCGGGUGCUAACGUCCGUCGUGGAGAGGGAAACAACCCAGACCGUCAGCUAAGGUCCCAAAGUGUAUGUUAAGUGGGAAACGAUGUGGGAAGGCUAAAACAGCUAGGAGGUUGGCUUAGAAGCAGCCACCCUUUAAAGAAAGCGUAAUAGCUCACUAGUCGAGUCGGCCUGCGCGGAAGAUGUAACGGGGCUAAACAUACCACCGAAGCUACGGCUGCGUACGUAAGUAUGCGGGGUAGGGGAGCGUUCUGUAAGUGGCUGAAGGUGUGCCGGGAGGCAUGCUGGACAUAUCAGAAGUGCGAAUGCUGACAUGAGUAACGACAAGAGGAGUGAAAAACUCCUCCGCCGGAAGACCAAGGGUUCCUAUCCCAUGUUAAUCAGGGUAGGGUGAGUCGACCCCUAAGGCGAGGCUGAAGAGCGUAGUCGAUGGGAAACGGGUUAAUAUUCCCGUACUCGGUAUGAAUGCGAUGGGGGGACGGAGCAGGCUAGGCAAGCAUGGCGUUGGUUGUCCAUGUGAAAGGCUGUAGGCUGGUGACUUAGGAAAAUCCGGGUUGCUAAGGCUGAGAGUCGAGACGAGCCACUAAGGUGGUGAAGUUGUUGAUGCCCUACUUCCAGGAAAAGCCUCUAAGCUUCAGUUCAUACUGAAUCGUACCCUAAACCGACACAGGUGGUCAGGUAGAGAAUACUAAGGCGCUUGAGAGAACUCGGGUGAAGGAACUAGGCAAAAUUGUACCGUAACUUCGGGAGAAGGUACGCUCUUGUUUGUGAAAGACUUGCUCUGUAAGCAAACGAGAGCCGCAGUGACCAGGUGGCUGGGACUGUUUAUUAAAAACACAGCACUGUGCAAAAUCGUAAGAUGACGUAUACGGUGUGACACCUGCCCGGUGCCGGAAGGUUAAUUGAUGGGGUUAGCUUAGGCGAAGCUCUUGAUCGAAGCCCCGGUAAACGGCGGCCGUAACUAUAACGGUCCUAAGGUAGCGAAAUUCCUUGUCGGGUAAGUUCCGACCUGCACGAAUGGUGUAACCAUGGCCACGCUGUCUCCACCCGAGACUCAGUGAAAUUGAAAUCGCAGUGAAGAUGCUGUGUACCCGCGGCUAGACGGAAAGACCCCGUGAACCUUUACUACAGCUUGGCACUGAACAUUGACCCUACAUGUGUAGGAUAGGUGGGAGGCUUUGAAGCAGAGACGCUAGUUUCUGUGGAGCCGACCUUGAAAUACCACCCUUGUAGUGUUGAUGUUCUAACUUAGGCCCCUGAAUCGGGGUUGAGGACAGUGCCUGGUGGGUAGUUUGACUGGGGCGGUCUCCUCCCAAAGAGUAACGGAGGAGCACGAAGGUUUGCUAAGUACGGUCGGACAUCGUACGGUUAGUGUAAUGGUAGAAGCAAGCUUAACUGCGAGACAGACACGUCGAGCAGGUACGAAAGUAGGUCAUAGUGAUCCGGUGGUUCUGAAUGGAAGGGCCAUCGCUCAACGGAUAAAAGGUACUCCGGGGAUAACAGGCUGAUACCGCCCAAGAGUUCAUAUCGACGGCGGUGUUUGGCACCUCGAUGUCGGCUCAUCACAUCCUGGGGCUGAAGUCGGUCCCAAGGGUAUGGCUGUUCGCCAUUUAAAGUGGUACGCGAGCUGGGUUUAGAACGUCGUGAGACAGUUCGGUCCCUAUCUGCCGUGGGCGUUUGAGAAUUGAGAGGGGCUGCUCCUAGUACGAGAGGACCGGAGUGGACGAACCGCUGGUGUUCGGGUUGUGAUGCCAAUUGCAUUGCCCGGUAGCUACGUUCGGAACUGAUAACCGCUGAAAGCAUCUAAGCGGGAAGCAGGCCUCGAGAUGAGUUCUCACUUUGACUUAGAGUCAACUGAAGGGCCGUUGAAGACUACAACGUUGAUAGGCGAGAUGUGGAAGUGCUGUGAGGCAUUAAGCUAACUCGUACUAAUUACCCGAGAGGCUUAACCAUACAACGCCAAAGUGGUUU